UGUAACACUGAUCGCAGUGACAGGUUGUCACUGCGAUCAGAGCGCUCUGAGAUUGCAGUGACAGCCUGUCACUGCGAUCAGACAG
rnacentral:miRNA from 1 species